rnacentral:rRNA from 1 species
CCUACGGGGGGCAGCAGUGAGGAAUAUUGGUCAAUGGUCGGGAGACUGAACCAGCCAAGCCGCGUGAGGGAUGAAGGUACAGAGUAUCGUAAACCUCUUUUGUCAGGGAACAAAGGCGGGGACGCGUCCCCGGAUGAGUGUACCUGAAGAAAAAGCAUCGGCUAACUCCGUGCCAGCAGCCGCGGUAAUACGGAGGAUGCGAGCGUUGUCCGGAUUUAUGGGGUUUAAAGGGUGGGCAGGGGGUCUGUUAAGUCAGCGGUCAAAGCCCGGGGCUCAACCCCGGCCCGCCGUUGAAACUGGCAGUCUCGAGUUGGAGAGAAGUAUGCGGAAUGCGCGGUGUAGCGGUGAAAUGCAUAGAUAGCGCGCAGAACUCCGAUUGCGGAGGCAGCAUGCCGGCUCCACACUGACGCUGAGGCACGAAAGCGUGGGUAUCGAACAGGAUUAGAUACCCGUGUAGUC